GCACUGCUGAGGAGUCCCACAAUAAAAUGAAACGUGCGUCCAGUGC
rnacentral:hammerhead_ribozyme from 1 species